GUUUGAAGGAGCAGGCAUUGCCACAGUCUGUUCGCCAGAGCCGGUACUAUUUGUCCUCUUUAAUUGGCCCUGAUUUUCAUCCCUUCCAUCCCUCCCUCCCUCCUUUCUCCGCCUGGAGCCAUUGUUUGUGCGUGGUUGUUACAGAAUAUGCAAACAUGGGAAAAGCUUGGCUAAUACUUUAGAGAGGUGCCUGGGCACUUGACAGAAGAUGCCUCCUCGCUGAGUGAUUCUUGAAGAUUCUCCUCAGCUCAGCCACAGGAAGGAUGCUAAGCUAUUUCUUCAAAAGAGCAACUUGAUUCUAUAUUGGAGAUAUGAAGCUUUCAACUUUGCUCACAGAAUUUCUCAGCAGAGCAGAGAAGCCAAAUUCUAUUACCAUAGUCCAAAUGCCUUGGAUCAUGAGGGUCAUAGAACCCCAGUGCUGAAGCUGAUUGCCCUAAACCAGGGCUUCCCAAAGAAUGACCAGGAUUGUCUCCCAGGUGGUGAGUAUCUUCUACUAUUGUUAUUUAUAUU
rnacentral:lncRNA from 1 species